UUUUUUUUUUUUUUUUUUUAAGAGGAGGAUACCCUCCUCAGGGGAAGGAAGGGGUGUGUCCACAGAUCACCUCCGAGUGCUGAUCGGGGUCUUCCAGGUUGUCUGGUGAAAGGUCCCAUCCCUGGGCAAGCUUGGAGCUGCUGCUGGGUUAGGUAUCAAGUCUUGGUUUGCUGCCCUGGGGGCCUGUCACAGGUGCCAUUUGGGGGGGUGUGGUCUCCUUUUUAACACACGCUCCUGUGGUCAUUCAUGUAUGUUUUUGUGUGAACAUGUAUUUUAAUUUCCCUGGGAUGAAUGCCCAGUAGUGUAACUCCGGGGUUAUAUCAUAAGUAUACGGUUGAGUUUUUAAGAAACUGCCAAGCUGUUUUCCAGAGGGGCUGUAUUUACCCUCCCACCCCCAGUGUCUGGGAGAUGCAGUUUCUCUGCAUCCUCACAGCAUUUGGCAUUGUCGCCGUGUUUAAUCUUCGCUAUGUAAUACUGUGUAGCGAUGUUUCAUCAUAGAUUUAGUUUGCGUUUCUCUAAUGAUUGAUGAUACCGAACAUAGUUUCAUAUGCUUAUUUGCUAUGUGGAUAUUGUUUUUGCUGAAAUGUAUGUUCAUGUCUUUUGCCCAUUUUGUAAUUGGAUUGUUUGCCUUUUUACUGUUGGGUUUUGAGAGUUCUUUAUAUACUCUAAAACAAAUUCCUAGAAGAAAAUACAAACGUUUUAUUCCAGUCUGUAAGCUGUCUUUUCACCUCCUUGAUAGUGUCUUUUGAGGUUUGUGAUUUUUAUGAAGUCCCAACACCCUGCCUUCUAUCCUGCUUCCCUGAUCUCUUCCACAGUCACCCCCAUUUCACCUCGGCAGGGAACUUGACGUCACCUAGAACUGACUGAUCUCUGCUUAGAUCUGUGUUCAACUCUCUGAGGCCCACCUCUCGCGCUUUCUACCUUGUUGACAUCUCUGCAAGCCUAACACCUGCAGUUUCCCAGUUCUCGGUUUUCUCCUCUUUAGCAGGGACUUUCACAGAGCAAAAUUUUAAAUUUUGAUGACGUCCAAAUGGGUUCUUUUCUUUAAUGCAUUGUGCUUUUGAUGUCAUGUCUGAGAACUCUUCCCCCAGGGCUAGGUCUCAGGGAGCGCCUGUGUUUUCUCUGUGCAUGAGUCUCUGAUUCGUUUUGAGGUUUAACUCGAGGUUUUGUCACCUCUGGAUGUCCACUUCCUCCAUCGUCAUGGAAACACUGUCUUUCCGCCAUUGAAUCCCUUUUGCACCUUUGUCGAAACUCCAGUUGGCUGGGUUUGUUUGGAUCUGUUUUAGUUGCCUGUUUUUCUAAGGAAUUCCCUUUCCUGUACUAGUCCCUUCUCUCUUCUCCUGGAGGUUAACUCAGUGCUGAAUUUGAUGUUUACCAACUGCAGGAACCUUUUGAAACUAACAGUAUGCAUUUAUGUUUCCAUAAAUAUUACGUGUUGCUGUAGACCCAGUGCUUCCCCCAGAAUUCCUCUGUUGAAAACGAAUCCCCAACGUGAUGCGGAGCCUUUGGAGGCGAUUAGGCCCUGAGAGCAGAGCCCUCAAGAGCCGGGGUUAGUGGAGUUCCCACAGUGGCUCAGCAGGUUAAAAACCUGAUUAGUAUCCAUGAGGAUGUGGGGUUGAUCCCUGGCCUCACUCAGUGGGUUAAUGAUCCAGCAUUGCCACAAGAUGUGGCACAGAUGUGUCUUGGAUCCGAUGUUGCCAUGGCUCCAGUAUAGGCUGGCAGCUGAAGCUCCCAUUCUACCCGUAGCCUGGGAACUUCCCUAUGCCAUAGGUGCAGCUGUAUUAAAAAAAAAAAAAAAAAAGACAAAAAAAGACUGGGAUUGGCGCCCUUAUAAAAGAUCGCAGAGCCCCCUUGCCCCCUGUAAGGACACAGGAGGUGGGCCUUCACCAGACACUGAAUCUGUCAGCACCUUAAUCUUGGACUCCCAGCCUCCAGGACUGUAACCAGUAGCCUUCUGUGGUUGAUAAGCCACCCGCUCUAUGGCAUUCUGUUAACAGCAGCCUGAACAGACACGUGUUUUAUAUAAAUGGUGUCAUUCUGCAGUUUCCUUUUUUUAAUAUUGUCUUUGAGAUUUAGCUGUGUUGCUAAAUCUACUUCAGCUGCUUCGCUGCUGUGUAGUGUCUGCUGUGUGAAGAUGCUGUCAUUUAACAUGAGCUGUUCCUAGUUUUCACUGUUACAAACAGAACUGCUAAAAGCACUUUAAAUUUUUAUUUGACGUUUUAUUUUAUUUUUAAAAAUUGUGGUAAAGGACAAAACUUUUCCAUCCUAACCAUUUUAAAGUGUACAGUUCAUUACCUACCUUCACAUUAUUGUGCAACCGUCACCACCAUCCAUUUCCAGGACUCUCUUGAUCGUGCAAAACUGAAACUGUACCUAGUAAACAGUAACUCCCCAGUCCAUCCCUCACCUUUUCCCUGGUAACCACCACUCUACAUUCUGUUUCUGUGAAUUCGGCUAUUCUAGGUACUUCACAUAAAUGGCAUCAUGCAGUAUUUGUCCUUUUGUGUCUGGAUUAUUUCACUUACCAUAAUGUCCUCAGGGUUUAUGCAUACUGCAGCAGGUGUCAGAAUUUCCUUCCUUUUAAAAGUUGAGUGCGAGUUCCCUGGUGGCUCAGUGGGUUAAGGAUCUGGUGUUGUCACUGCUGUGGGCUCAGGUUGCUGCUGUGGUGAGAGUUUGAUCCCUGACCCAGGAACUUCUGCAUGCCAUCGGUGUGGCCAGAAGCAAUAGUCGAAUAAUAUUCCAUUCUGUGUGUAUACCACAUUGUGUUCAUCCAUUCAUCUGUUGAUGGGCUCUUGAGUUGUUUCUGUCUUUUGGUUGUUGUGAACAUGGCGUACAGAUAAUCCGCUUGUGGGGCCCUGCCUUCACAUCUUUUGUGUAUCUACUCAGAAGUUGGAAUUGCUAGGUCCUGUGAUAAUUCUGCUUUUAAUUUUCUGAGAGACUACCAUACAGUUUUCCACAGCAGCCGCACCAUUUUGCGUUCCCACCAGCACUGAAAGCGUUCGUACAUAGCCUUACACAGAUGUGUCAGGAUGCCUUCAGGUGUGUAUGCCUAGGAGAUAGAUAGCCCCAGGAGUAGAAGCGGACCGUGCACCUUAAGCUUUACUGAGCUUGGCCGAAUUGCUCUCGAAGUGGGGGUGCUUCGAGUCCCUCCAGCAGUGCAGGAGCGUUCCCGCAGGGCCGUGUCCGCAGCAGCCCUCGGUGGUGUCAGACUCUUGAGGUUUGGCCGAUCUGACAGGAAGGUUGAGAAAACAAGAUUUACGAAGUCCUCUCAGUUCCCUUUAUAAAUAGAAGCCUCUUUGCUUUCGGAUGGGGUUUGACUCUAGGGAGGGGACACGGCAGAGGCAGGUCUGACAGUUUGGUCGUUGGGCCGUGAGAGGCCCUUGUGCGAGGCUCUAAGGAGCCUCUUGGGAAGAACUGUAUAAGGCAGUGAAAUGGGACUUGUGACUGGUGUUUUGGUUUUGGUUUUUGUCUUUUUAGGGCUGCCCUCGAGGCACAUGGAGGUUCCCAGGCUAGGGGUCAAAGUGGAGCUGUAGCCGCCGGCCUACACCACAGCCACAGCCACGCCAGAUCUGAGCGAGUCUGCGACCUACACUACAGCUCAGGGCAACGCCGGAUCCUUAACCCACUGGCCAGGGAUCGAACCCGCGUUCUCAUGGAUGCUAGUCGGGUUCAUUAACCUGCUGAGCCACGACGGAACUCCAGUGACGUGAGACUCUUAAUUGGGGGAACUCGAGGGUGCAAAUGAGUGCUGGCUUAGCUCCUACCAACAACUUGCCUUUACAGUUUUUAUAACUUAUUUUUAAUUAAAGAAUCGGGUGACUGUGUUACGUUUUCCACAGCUCCUUUGGGGAACCUAAGGCAGUGGGCUGCAGCAAGAAGAGCAGGAGACGGGAUCCCGCAUGACUUGACCGGAUUCCCAGCUGGAUUUCACGACAGCCCCCAGGACUGUGUAUUAUUAACCCUAACUUCCCUCUCUGCGAAGAACAAUCGUGGACCCGGCGUCUUCCUGCCUCGUCGAGUUAGGAGUCCUAAAUUUAGGCAGGUCACUUGGCACUGAGCCGGUAGUGAGAAAAUGUCAUUUACCAUCCCUUUCUGUUUGCCGUUUUGCUUGAUUUCCUUUGCUGUUUACAGAGCUGCCCUUGGAAAGACUGGUAUUUUCUUUUCUUCCAGUACCUUUCUAGGUAAUUCUCAAACUUAGUCAGUGAACCAAGAAAUUGAGGCUUAUCAUACCAAUUUCCCAACCUGUUAGAAAAUUAUACUAGGUAUCCAGAAAUAACGAGGCAAUAGUAGCUAUUGUUGCUUGGAUAAAUAAAUUAAUCUUGUACUAUUCCCUUAGACUCCAAGGAGCUAUUCAUUUCUUUUUCUGGUUACCAUUGACUAAUUCCCAAUUUGUUUUUUAGGGUCCAGAAUUUAAUCUGAGAUUUCAGUGACAUUUAAAAUUUUUAUUUAUUGUUUUUAAUAUUUGCUGUCAAGUGAAAAGAACAGAAGAGCUACACAAAAGAUUAGAUAAGUUGAUGUGUUAUUUUUGUUUGCUGUGCCUCAUUAUGGGAAUUGUCUUGAAAGCAGCCCUUUGCACCUAUUUUGCUGUUGUGGGGUUGGCUAGUAUAUCUUCUGAUGGUUAAUAAAUCUCUGAUGCAUAAAGGAAUUAACUUUUUUUUUAGUGAUUUUUAGGGCCAUGGCAUAUGGAGGUUCCCAGGCUAGGGGUCCAAUCGGAGCUGUAGCUGCUGGCCUACGCCAUAGCUCAUGGCAACGCCAGAUCCUUAACCCACUGAGCAAGGCCAGGAGUUGAACUUGCAUCCUCAUGGAUACCAGUCAAAGUCAUUACCGCUGAACCACCAAGGGAACUCCCAGGAAUUUCUUUAUCUCACAUUCAAAAUGCAGCAAAAUGGGAGUUCCCUGGUGGCACAACAGAUUAAGGAUCUGGCAUUGUCACUGCUGUGGUGCACAUUCCAUCCUUGCCCUGGAAACUUCCACAUGGCUCAGGUAUGCCCCCUCCCCCCAAAAAAAGCCCCCAAAUGUGGCAAACAAGCGUGUUAAGUCAUCCUUUGUAUCCAUCAGUUCUCAUGGCUGUGUAUUUACCACAGCAGAUUUAUAAUCCAUUAUAAUUUUCUCUUAAGACGCUGUUGCUGGGCACCGUGGGUUCCUGAUGUUUGCAUGUUGAGCCAAGAGGAAGGAUAGGUCUGUUGGUUUAUUCACCCAUUCAGCAGACACAUGUCCGGCAACCUCUGGGUUUGGGGGGCAUUGGGAUUGCUGAUGGGGAAAGGACGGGCACCCCACCCAAGGGGCAUCAUGGUCUUAAUGCCAGUAAGGGGGUGGUUUUGAUGCUGAGAGUAUUUAUCCUAGAGAGUUGUUGAAGGAUUCAGUGAGUUAAUUCACUCAAAGGUUGAGAAGAAAGCCCAGCAUAGAGGGAGCGCUUGCUAAAUGCCAGCUGCUGUUGUCAAUCUUGAAAGGCAAAAGGAACCUAGUGGUUAAAGUACAAACUGGACUGGACUGAGAUCCUGACUCUGCCAGUCACUCGCGGUGUAACCGUGGGCAAAUUGCUUAAUUUCUCUGGGCCGCACUCUGGGCCCAGAGAUAGGGCAGGGAUGGUAAUAAUUAAGUAAACCCUUGCUCAGGGGGCUUUGAGCGUUGCAUGUACCUGCCUUGCACGGUUGAGUUUGCACGGGUCGAGUACUUAGAGCAGUUUCUGGCGUGUAGGAUGCACCCAGUGAGUGUUAACUGCCUGAAAGUGGAGACGUGCAUAGGCUUCUGCGGAGGCACAGAGCACAAAGGCGCCAUCUCGCUGCCUGGAGGGGGUAGAAGGGCAACCUGAAGUCACAGGAAAAGUCUCACGUAGAAACCCAAUCCCAAGGAGGAAUAAGGAUGGUCCAGAGGGGGAGCAGGUGAAGAGCGAGAAGGCGCAGAGGGUGAGGAAACCGCGUAGCUCUGCGUGUCUGGGACCGAGGGCGGCUGCCGGUGGGAAACUCGGCUGGAGAAGCCGGCGGAGCUCGGCGCUCCAGGAGCUUCACUUCCUCCAGCAGCCCUGGCCGUCCCAGCCUCCCCUCUUGGGACCUGUGCCCUUGAUGUCUCCUUUGCCAGGAACUCUCCCAUGGCCACUGCUCUCUCAAUAUUUCGGAAAAUGUGGCCUCCCCUCUGCACAGAGGCCUUCUCUGACAUCCGUUCCUGCUCCCGGGACCCGUUGCAGCAUCCUGGUUCUUUCAAAACGAUGUCAUGGUUGCUCAAUCCAUAAUUGUUUUGCUUACAUAGGUGUGUGUCUCUUCAUUCGUUUCCUCCGUGGACUAGAUUCCAUGAGGGUACAGGCCAUGAGCCUCUGGCUCGUCACCGUCCCUCCACACGUAGCCAGCCAGCCCAGAGCCUGAUAUGUAAUGGGCGCUCAGUAAGUAUUUGUUGAGAGCAGGAAUGACGGAUGAAGGGCCUGUCUUGCCACGCAGAGGACUUCAGAUUCUUCCUCUGGGUGUUGUGCGUGGGAAUGACGGGAGCUGAUUUCUGCUGUAGAGUGAAAACCUGGUGACGUCCCAGCCGGUGAAUACAAGGGGAGAUUAGAGAGCAGUCCUCCGGAGACGGUGGCAGUUCUCCCAGCGGGAGAGGAAAAGUGUAUAUAAAUAGACCAAGUCAGCAAAACCCAGCAUCCCUAAAGGACGCAGCAGGAAAGAGCCAACAACCUCACGUAAAAACGGAGCAUUGUGUAUUUGCUCUUGGCCCUUGUUUCAGGAAAGAAGCAAGAUGACUGACUUAAAUGUUUACAGUUU
rnacentral:lncRNA from 1 species